rnacentral:lncRNA from 10 species
CUUCUAAGUAUAGUGACAGUGCAUCAGGCUUUCCUAGUCUCAGCGCAAGCUCAGUGAAAAUCUGGGAAAUGUAAGUGGAAACAUGAGAGACCGCUUUAUUUGGCAGUGCUUACCCCCCCUCAAAAAAAAAAAAGUGGGGGGCAGGACAAAUGGCUAAGCAGUGUUUGGACCGCAGGAUGAACAAUCAAUAGGCAGAAAGCAAGAUUGAGGCUUCCUCAGCUUUUGGAUCGACAAUCGACAGCUGAGAGGCUAUUUUUUGCUAUGGUUGACUAAAUAUGGUCAGGGAAGAGAGAGGCACAAGAGAGCCUGUUUGCCUGGGAGUGCAUGUUUCAAAUGCUUAGCUGCCUAUAAAGCUGUAACAGUUUAGCCAGUGGUCACUGAGGAAGAAUAUAAGUUAGCCUCGUAGUGACCAUGUGGAAGUCCUGACCUCGCUUGCAGACUUGACCUCUGGAUGUGACAAGGUAGCUUCACUACAGCUCUACUAUUUAAUCCUGGAAACUAAAAACCAAAAAAAAAAAAAAAAAAAAUCUAAAAGCAAGAAAGAUGCAGACUAUUUCCUAAGAAGUCAGAAGAACCCAAUGUAUUCUGGAGGGCAAAGAAAAACAGGGUGAAUGUUUACAGUUAUUUGGGGGGAGUAAGGUGUGUUUUGGGUUCUGUUUUUGUUUUUUUUUUUUUUUGUCUUUUUUAGACUAUAAAAUUAACUUCUGCAACUUUUUCCCCUCUUCUGAAGCAUUUCAUCUGACAAGCUAGGUUCAUUUUCUUGGCCUUUGUAGCAACCUUUUUUGAUUGCUUAACUUUCCCUAUAUAACUGUGCAAGACUGUUAUAUGACAUUCCAAAUCAAAUGGCCAACACUGAUUCAAUUUUAGAGUUGUUUUUGUUGGUGGUUUUUGUUUUUGUUUUUGUUUUUGGUAAAGGGAAGAGGGGAGGAGAGGGAAAAGUAAGCUUGUUUUUUGUUUGCUCGUUUGUUUUUCAAAUUUAUCUUAAAAGGUGAGGUUCUGUGUUCACUGAUACAUCCCCUUCCUUCACCGGGCUCAUGAAAAGAAAUGCUGAAUCAGCAAAUAGAGUGAACGAACAAUCAAGAUGAGAUGGCUGCUGUUGAUGUGAUUCUCUAGGUUACUACCUUUCUUCCUGCUGCAAAUGCUGCAUGACACUAAGCUUACAGGAUCUAGAAGCAGACUACAAAAAAAGAAGAAAUUCACUCUGAAGACUGAAGAAACACUAGGCUGAUCUUAAGUUUCCGAAAUACACUCUGUAACACUACACUGAUUCUUUGAAUCUCUUGCAAAAAGAAUCAAACCAGGACAAAGUUCAACAGAUAACUGGUCAAAUGCUUAGGAAUGUCUAUGUCCACCAAGAAUAUGGAACCAUUAAUGCCAUGCUUCAGGUAAACUUGUUACAAAAUUUAGUCUUCGAUAAAUUAGUCUCUGCAAAUGAUUUACCAUUGCUCUACAUUAGUAAGCUGAAUGUUUCACUAACAAAUAAGAAAAUAAAAUAUUUCAUGUUUUUACAGCUAACAACUUAGUAAUACCUACUCAGAGUACAUACUUCUUUAUGUACCCAUAUGAACAUACAAUGCUAUGGAAUGUAAAGAAGUAUGUAUUUUUGGUAGGCAAUAAACCACCAAGGGAGAAUUAAACUGAGCUAAAAGAAGCUCUUGCUUCUUUCUACGUGAAUGACCGUCAUAUGGUAAAUUAACCUAGUCAUGAACAGAUGACCUUUGGCAAUACUAACACCAAAAAAAAAAGGUUAUCUACUACUGAUAGAUAGAAACUAUCCCUAAGGUUUUUAUUUCAUGAAGGAAAAGAAGAUCCAGUGAAGUAGAUUUCAAUUAUCAUGAAACUCCUUUUAAAUCAUCUAAGUUUAAAACAGACAUCUUACAUUUUUAAAUUAGGCACUCUCAUUAUUAAAAUUUGACUGCAAAAGGGAAAAUAGUAUUACUAGCACAAAAGAAUGAGGAAUACACAUGACCUAUUUUCUGUCUCCACAAUUUAAUCUUAAGUAUAUCUCAUUAGUAGGGCUCACUGAUUUGUACAGAAAAAUAAGAUACUAAGAGCUGGCUUCAUUCACAUAAUAAGCUAUUUCUUCUCAUUUUGAUAAAUGUAUAAUUAAUAUUAGAGGAAUUUCUGACCAAAAGUUUUGUUGUUUUAAAAAGGCUUUCUUUUUUGACAGCUACAAACAUAGUGGCCCUUGUCCUUCCUUCUCAAGUUUAUCAGGGUCUUAACCCAAAUCUCUACUUUAAAUGUGAAGUUAAAACUUAAAAUUAAUUAAAAUGUAAGAUUUAAGCAUGAAAAAUGACAAAAUUCUGGUCCACAGCUGUAAGUCAGCAGGGUAUAUUGGUAACAGACUACCAAAUAUUUAAAAGAAAUUAAUUUAUCUGUAUUAUCUUCGAAUUUGCUUUCUCCAAAGAGGGCAUGUAAAAUGAAAGCACUAUAGUCAAGAACCAAUUUAUACAGAUCGAAGAACUGUUUUUAUUGUACUAUGCAAUUACAAUUCAAUUUCUCUAAACUUGAUCAAUCCAUUGUUUAGAAAUAUCAAAAUACUUUUAUUUCACACAGUUUGUAUAUUAUUUAUAAAAAAUUCCAAAUAAUGCUCUUAGCAAAAUUUAUAAGCAGUACCUGUUUUAAGCUACUAAUGACAAAGUUAGAAAAUAAGAGUAAUAUUCACAUAUUCUAACCAUUUCUUACUAAAAGUAUUAUUUCAACUGAAAUAUUUACACAUGUAUAAAAGCAUAAUAUUUUAAAUUUUUUGUAUCAGAAAUUGAAUGGAAAUGACUAAGUUUAACUAUAGUUCAUUUUCUGUUUAAUAAGACUAGUUAAUACAAAGAUGAUUUUCAUUUUAUCAGAUUAUAAAGAAUGAGAAUGACUUACACAUGGCAUCAUAUGUGUUACUGCAUGUUUACUGGAAAUUAUAAAAGGCACAUAAUUUUAAAAUUCUACACUUUCAAAGAAAUUAGUUCAAAGCUUAACUCACAUAAGCAUAGCCCUUCUGAUCAUCCACAAAACAGAAUGGCAAUGAUUCAUGUUCUAUUUGGUAAGUUUACCUGUAUAGGUCCUAAAUACCAAGAACUCAAAAUAUAUACCUCAAAAGUAGAGGUUCUUCUAUAAAAAUACUCAAAGCUUAUUACUCUACUUGUGUUUUAUAAUAAACAGUUAUAUUGGUCAUUCUAUAGGUAUACAAGUUGUUUAAUAAUCCUUCUCAAACAUCCUAGCAACUAAGACUCUCUUUGCUAUAAUAUUAAGACUAUAUAAAUAAUCCUUAGAAAAUAAAAUGACAGGCUAUUCAUUUUUAAAAGUAAAAUUAUAUGCUGAUUCUGGUGCUUGCGAGUUUAACUUAUCUAAGAGUAUUUUCAAUCACUCUAAAAUGUCACAUCUAUCACUUAGAUCAGCUGUUCAUUUUUAACUGAGUACAUAUUAAACUCUGGGCAUCUGCUGACACUGGUAUAACUCAAACAUUUCAACUGUCUCCCUGACAGGGAUAACAGAUGCUGACAUUAUCAAAUGCUGUACUAUUUUUUUCCCAUGGCCUCUCCUUGCCCCGAUAUGGCCAGUAUAUGAAACUGAACUGCCAUCCAAAAACACACUUGAGCAACUGGAUCUGCUAAACAGCUCCCAUAUAACUAGUAAAAAUAGAAGCCAGUAUUAUUGCUAUCUUCAGCACUUAAGUUUAGGCAGUUUAACACCUGUUUCACUUCUACUAGAAAAAAUGAUGAAAAAGAAUUGUAGUUAAUUUCACCAGCAGUAUGAUACUUACCAACCAACAGACGCAGAAUAUACUUAGUGUAAGAGUCAUUUGCAUACUGCCUGAAUUAGCGUUGACCUCUCAGUUUAAAAUAGUAACUGUAAAGAAUAUUUCUCUACUCUAUAUUUCUCUGAGAGCACUUAACUUUAUAGGCAAAUUAUAAUUUAUCAAACUUUUAUUUUAUGCAAGAAGACACCCCUCUCAAGACAUUGAAAUCAACAGUAAAACCACAUUAUAACAAAAAUUUACUCUGAUUUUUCAAGUAUUAUCCACACAAUAGAUUUUAAUACUUGUAUCCAUGGAUUGUAACUAACCACCAUGUAUUACUAAGGCGAUAAUGAGAAGUAACUUGGCAAUCUGUACCCAAAAUGACAAAGAACUUAGUCAAGGAAAUAGACCUUUAAAAGGGUUAAAUUACUAAGCUAUGAUUAGUAACACCACGUAAGCAAAAACAAAGAAAAACUGGCAUGCAUGGUAGUUCCUUUCGACACAAGUCCAAGCAAUACACUGAAUACACAUGUGAUCUAUUUAUAAAUCAAAGGGCAGAGGUACUUUCUUAAGGCCACUGAUAUUCCUACACCCAUCAACAAUUUGCUAUUAGCCCUCAACUAUAAUGCUAAAAGAAGCAGUGGCAGUAGAAGGGGGUGACUAACUGAACUCUUCCCCAACCUUUUAGCUUAACUAUUUAUCUGGUUUGCUGCCUAGAGAUAAAUGGAAAACAUUACUCUAAAAUACAUCAAGGUCUAUUUGUUCCUUUAAAUACUAUUGGUUUUGAAAUAGCUUAUUGUCUACAUGUAAGAAUUAAGCAAAGACUUCGGCUGUGGACAAGAUUAGAAAAAGAAAAAGAAGCAAAGAUGUUGAAAACAAAGACGUACAUUGAUCAUUCCUUAAUGCAGUAAUGUGUUAAAAGGAAAAGAUUUUUAAACCAUUAAGCGCAGGAAAACAGUAGGAAAGUGACUUCAAAAUGGAAAAUUUGACAUUCAGUGACUGAAGCAUUGGUAUGAUAAUUUCUAACACUUGUAGAAGGUCCAUGACUGUAAUUUUACCAAUGAAAAGCAUUUAACUGUUUUGGAUUCCAAACUAGCAGCACUACAAUGCUUUGCUAGAGCUGGUAAAAUGGAACCAAAUCGCCUCUUCAAUGGAUUUGGUCCCCUUCAACCAGCUGUAGCUAUGCAUUGAUUACUACGGGACAACCAACGUUUUCAUUUGUGAAUAUCAAUUACUUGCCAACUAAUUUCAACUUAUUUACAUUAUGCAGACUGUGAUUAUAAUCAAAUAACUUGUUACUGUUAAUUCUACCUGGAAAAGCUAGAAUGGUUAAAGAUGUUUAUAAAAAGCUUUAUGAAAAAUGUAUGGAUGACUUAAGGAUUUCAAAUAAAAAUUUUACUUAUUAUGGUCUCUUGGUAUUAAAUUUCUUAUCCUUCAGAAAAGAAAAGAACUGGUAAUAAAAUGUAGGCUAUGCUUCAUAAUAACAACAACAACAAAAACUUCCUUCAAAGGAAGAAAAUAUCUGGAAAGGUCACCUAAAACCCACCUGAACACAUAAUGGGAUUGUACAGUGUGGUUUACAUGGAUGUGUGCAUAUUUAAAUUAAAGAAAACUGUAACAUUAUAUAACACUCUAGAAAUGUUUAGUCACUAUCUUCCAUAGUAUUGGCCUUUAAUUUUACCGCUAUUUACCUGAAUGUUAGCAGGUAAGGUGAAAAAGAUGAUAACUGUAGAAUAUCUUGUGGAGAGGCUUAAAACAGUUAUCUAGUUCUUCUGACCCUGAAUCAAAGGUUUUUAGUCUUCAAAAAAGAAAGAAAAUGCUAAGCAUCACUACUUUUACUCAUGAAAUAUUUCACCUCUCCAUAUUUGUUUUCACAGCUGUAAAAUGAAGAACUCUGCUAACAAUAAAUACUAUG